AAUGAACGUUGGCGGCGUGGAUUAGGCAUGCAAGUCGAGCGAGAACCCCGCAAGGGGGGACAGCGGCAAACGGGUAGUAACGGGUAGGUGACGUACCCUCGGGUCGGGGAUAGCCACGGGAAACUGUGGGUAAUACCCGAUAAUCUCCUGAAGUGUGUAUGCUUUGGGAGCAAAGGUGUGAUUCCACCUGGGGAGCGGCCUGCUUCGUAUUAGCUAGUUGGUGGGGUAACGGCUCACCAAGGCGACGAUGCGUAGGGGGUGUGAGAGCAUGACCCCCACCGCUGGGACUGAGAUACUGCCCAGACACCUACGGGUGGCUGCAGUCGAGAAUCUUCGGCAAUGGGCGCAAGCCUGACCGAGCGACGCCGCGUGUGGGAUGAAGGCCCUUGGGUUGUAAACCACUGUCAGAGGGGAUGAAGUGCCAGAGAGCAAUCUCUCUGGUUUGACAUAGCCUCAGAGGAAGCACGGGCUAAGUUCGUGCCAGCAGCCGCCGUAACAC
rnacentral:rRNA from 1 species